CCAUGGAGAUGCCAUCAUGCUGAGAUCAACCUACCCAGACGUCCACUAUCUUGCAAAUCUUACCUGAUGUGCCACCAUCUAUGACAUUGGGCCAGACAGGAGGCCAUUUUACAGAAACUAACCGUACUGUUUUGCGACUUGGAUAUGUCUUUUACAGUGAACAUAUAAGUGGACUUUUUCUGGAAUAAAGGUAUAUUCAUUCAACAAUUAACGCCCAGAUUGCUUCAUUCAGGAGGACUUAAAAUUGCUCACCUUACAUAAACUCAAGGAUAACGCACAAAAGGGAAGAAAGGGGGAUUCCCAUUGAUGAGAUUUGAACUAGAUAAAAUAUCUGAAGACUUUCCUGGGAGAAGAAGAAAAAUAAAAGGAAAAAGGAAAAAACAGUGGGUUGUCCUAAAGGAACCAACUUCCACUGAGCUGGGUAGAGUUCUCUUGACCAAUAGUCGGCUCUGGUUGACUAAUGAGAACAGAAAGGACAUGAUAACACAGCUGCCACAGAAGCAGAGACACAAACCCCACUGCCCUGUCUUCUUCAUCAGUAAUCAAGAUGGUUUCUGAAGCAGAAGGAAGUUCUUCAAGGAACUGCAGAAAUCAUGAAGACAUAUAUGUACAACGGAGGGAGAGAUGAAUUUCAGCAGGAAAGUUCCUGGGGCUACUUCCUGAAGGAUCCUGUAGAUGAACACACACUCCUGUCAAAAUCAAGGCUUCAAAGAGAAAAACUUACUAAGCCAGAACUUCCCCUUCUCUUCGCCACCCACACCCAAGCCACCAUGAAGCAUCACAUGUGAGAACUACAUGUGUAACAGCAAUGUAUGGUACUUUUUCUCUCAUUUUUUUUUUCUGCUACCACCCUGAACCAAGGCACAUAAUUUUGUGCCUGCUUAUGUCCCAAAGGCAAGAAGGACAUCAUCUUGCCAGUCCAAUUCCUUCUUUCUGUCAUAGUAAAAGUGGGUGUAAAAUGCAAAUCAGCUCAUGGUACUCCUCUGCUUCUCAGAUAUUCGGUAAUUAUCUAUUGUGUUUGGAAUUAAAUCUGAAUUCCUUUUAUUGUGGCCUCUAAAUAUGCAUAGUCUGGUAUCUGCUUAUUCUUCCAUCCUCAUCUUAUUAACUUCUUCUUCAUUAUGCCGCAGCCAUCAAAACCGCCCUUAUUGCUUUCUAUCACAACAUAUUUUUCCCACCUCAUGACAUAGUGCCUGUCACUUUCUUUGCCCAAGAUGCAUUACAUUUAGGAUAUGAGAGAUUCCUUCUUAUUGUGCAGAACUCAAAUGUCACCUCCUUAGAUAGACUGUUUCUGAAAAUUCCAUCAAAAAUAUGGUCCUGUUUAUAUCAGUUUCAAUCUCCCAUUCUUCUGCCUGAUUUAACCCCUCAAAAGCACAAGUAACAAGACUCUCAAUGUUUUUUUUUUUUCCAGCUCUGAACUUAUUUACAUUUUGGUUAGAAUUUCUGUCAUUAUUGACUAGAAUUCUGACUUGAAAUAUAGAGUUCCACGAGGGAAUAAAGACUCUGUCUAUAUCUCUGAU